rfam:Triticum urartu cultivar G1812 contig704966, whole genome shotgun sequence.
AUUAUACUCCGUCCGUCCGGAAAUACUUGUCAGAGAAAUAGAUGUAUCUAGAUGUAUUUUAGUUCUAGAUACAUAUAUUUUUAUCCAUUUCUGCAACAAAUAAUUCCGGAGGGAGGGAGUAUUGG